GGGAGAAUGGGUCAGACUGAAGGAAGAUGUGGUUAACUGGAAGUCUAUUGGGCCAGGCAGCAUUGGUAUCGUACAGGGUAUAGGUUAUGAUGGGGAUGAAUGGGAUGGAAGCAUUUAUGUUGGCUUUUGUGGGGAACAAGAAAGAUGGGUGGGACCCGCUUCGCACGUUGAAAGAGUAGGAAGGCUCAUAGUUGGACAGAAGGUUAGGGUAAAACUCUCUGUGAAACAUCCGAGAUUUGGGUGGUCAGGCCACAGUCAUGCAAGUGCUGGAACAAUAUCGGCAAUUGAUGCUGAUGGAAAACUGAGAAUAUAUACUCCUGUAUGUUCGAAAACUUGGAUUCUAGAUCCUUCAGAAGUGGAGCUGGUGGAGGAAGAGGAGCUUCAUAUUGGAGACUGGGUGAGGGUAAGGGCAUCAGUAUCAACACCAACACACCAGUGGGGAGAGGUGAAUCAUUCAAGCAUUGGAGUGGUGCAUCGUAUGGAAGAUGGGGAAUUAUGGGUUGCAUUCUGCUUCACAGAGAGGCUGUGGCUUUGCAAGGCAUGGGAAAUGGAAAGGGUUAGGCCAUUCAAAGUGGGGGACAAAGUGAGAAUUAGAGAAGGGCUUGUAACGCCUCGGUGGGGAUGGGGAAUGGAGACUCAUGCAAGCAAAGGCAGAGUAGUUGGUGUAGAUGCAAAUGGGAAGCUAAGGAUUAAGUUUCAGUGGAGAGAAGGCCGGCCAUGGAUUGGAGAUCCUGCUGAUGUUGUCCUUGAGAGUUAAGCUUUUAAUGGAGGUGCUGGAUGAAUAUCUCCUUGCUUUCUGUGCUUCUUUCAGUUUGCUCCUCAAUCCAUAGGGUCUUAGUCUCUUGCUACUGCCUACUGUUGAGAGAAGUUUGCUUUAGCUGCUGUACGGUCCAGUAUGCUUGAAACUCUACAUAUGACUGCAGCACCCUCCUUAACAAAUCGGAAUUUGUUUAUUGUUAAUAAACAGAAGAAAUACAGAGUCGGAUAAUGGAAACAUGCAGGAAAUUGGCUUGCCUUGCUGAUAAUUAUUGGAGAUGAUGGAACU
rnacentral:misc_RNA from 1 species